rnacentral:rRNA from 1 species
AAAUUGAAGAGUUUGAUCAUGGCUCAGAUUGAACGCUGGCGGCAGGCCUAACACAUGCAAGUCGAGCGGAAACGGCAGCAUUGAAGCUUCGGUGGAUUUGCUGGACGUCGAGCGGCGGACGGGUGAGUAACGGCUGGGAACCUGCCCUGACGCGGGGGAUAACCGUUGGAAACGACGGCUAAUACCGCAUAAUGUCUUAGUUCAUUACGAGCUGGGACCAAAGGUGGCCUCUACAUGUAAGCUAUCGCGUUGGGAUGGGCCCAGUUAGGAUUAGCUAGUUGGUAAGGUAAUGGCUUACCAAGGCGACGAUCCUUAGCUGGUUUGAGAGGAUGAUCAGCCACACUGGGACUGAGACACGGCCCAGACUCCUACGGGAGGCAGCAGUGGGGAAUAUUGCACAAUGGGGGAGACCCUGAUGCAGCCAUGCCGCGUGUGUGAAGAAGGCCUUCGGGUUGUAAAGCACUUUCAGCAGUGAGGAAGGUGGUGUACUUAAUAAGUGCAUGGCUUGACGUUAGCUGCAGAAGAAGCACCGGCUAACUCCGUGCCAGCAGCCGCGGUAAUACGGAGGGUGCGAGCGUUAAUCGGAAUUACUGGGCGUAAAGCGCAUGCAGGCGGUUUGUUAAGUCAGAUGUGAAAGCCCGGGGCUCAACCUCGGAACCGCAUUUGAAACUGGCAGGCUAGAGUCUUGUAGAGGGGGGUAGAAUUUCAGGUGUAGCGGUGAAAUGCGUAGAGAUCUGAAGGAAUACCAGUGGCGAAGGCGGCCCCCUGGACAAAGACUGACGCUCAGAUGCGAAAGCGUGGGUAGCAAACAGGAUUAGAUACCCUGGUAGUCCACGCCGUAAACGCUGUCUACUUGGAGGUUGAGGUUUAGACUUUGGCUUUCGGCGCUAACGCAUUAAGUAGACCGCCUGGGGAGUACGGCCGCAAGGUUAAAACUCAAAUGAAUUGACGGGGGCCCGCACAAGCGGUGGAGCAUGUGGUUUAAUUCGAUGCAACGCGAAGAACCUUACCUACUCUUGACAUCCAGUGAACUUUCCAGAGAUGGAUUGGUGCCUUCGGGAACACUGAGACAGGUGCUGCAUGGCUGUCGUCAGCUCGUGUUGUGAAAUGUUGGGUUAAGUCCCGCAACGAGCGCAACCCUUAUCCUUGUUUGCCAGCACAUAAUGGUGGGAACUCCAGGGAGACUGCCGGUGAUAAACCGGAGGAAGGUGGGGACGACGUCAAGUCAUCAUGGCCCUUACGAGUAGGGCUACACACGUGCUACAAUGGCAGAUACAGAGGGCAGCGAAGCUGCGAAGUGGAGCGAAUCCCUUAAAGUCUGUCGUAGUCCGGAUUGGAGUCUGCAACUCGACUCCAUGAAGUCGGAAUCGCUAGUAAUCGUGGAUCAGAAUGCCACGGUGAAUACGUUCCCGGGCCUUGUACACACCGCCCGUCACACCAUGGGAGUGGGCUGCACCAGAAGUAGAUAGCUUAACCUUCGGGAGGGCGUUUACCACGGUGUGGUUCAUGACUGGGGUGAAGUCGUAACAAGGUAGCCCUAGGGGAACCUGGGGCUGGAUCACCUCCUUA